UUGCCGUAAUAACAGCUAUGAAACAAGUGCAACACAGGGAGUAAGUUCAAAGAGCAAAACUUUUAAUACGCAGCAACCAUUCUUGAAGUAAUUGCAUUACCAUGUUUAGGACACUGGCUUCUGGAGUACAAAUCUUUGAGCAGGUAACCAUUUUUUGUUACUUUUAUAUACUGUACCUUUAUUUUUUAAAUUCAACUUUUCACUGAAAUCUGUUGCACAUACUGUAUAUUUCUGCACAUGCUAUCUCAUUGGGAAGAAUGAUUGACUUGGCUUUUUGAACAAAAGUUUGUAUCUCCUACAAAAUGGUUCAUAUCAAUAAAAUCAAUCUCAGGUAAAUAAACAUUGGGCAGUUUGGGAAAGUUAUACAGUAACUAGAUAAUAAAAAUAAAAUGCUCUCUUUUAUUUUCUUGUCAUAUUUACAUAGGCUUAUCCCUUAAUUUUACCUCUACAUCUUUCUGAAGUAAAUUGUGCUGAGAGUAAUUGGCCUGAAGUUAUCCAAUGAGCUUCAUAACUAAGUGCAGAUCUAAACCUUGAUUCUCCUGGUCCUAGCCCAAAACCUUAGCCGUUGUACUACAUAUGAUAGAAAAUCACUGUAUUAUGAUAAAAUGAUUCUGUAUGCAGGGUGGGAAACUUAUAGCUCUUCAGAUGUUACUCAGUUAUAAAUCCCAGCCUAAAAUAUAGCAUGACCAACAGUAAAAAAUACUCAAAAUUGUAGUUUAACAACAACUGGGGAGCCACAGAUUCCUUACCAUACCUAUGUGUAGGAGUUACCAUUACUGUGAACAGUAAUAUCCAAAGCUGACAAUUUAGACUCUAAUAUUAAAUAUAUUUACUCAGAAUUAAAUUGAUCUGAAGGUACAAGUUAUAAAUGCUGCAGCCCUGUAGCAGUUAUUUAACAGAUCAUAGGAGUAGGAUUUAUAACUGAACAACCAUGCAUAGGAUUUGGCUAUGAAUUUCUUCACUGAUCUGUUAAUCAAAAAAGUGCUCAUAAAAGUAAUCCUCUUCAGAAAUAAACUGUAUCAUAGUCAUUAGGGAUUAUGUAGGAUUGUGCUAUCCAAACUUUUAUGCAUCUUGUGAUUAUUCCUACUGUCUCAUCUGUAUCUCUUGAAAAGCUGAGCUGUACAUCAUAAAUAUACUCAUCCCAAAUUUCUUUUUCACCCAGCUGUUUUAAAUAGAUGAUACAUACAUAUUUCCAGGAAGGAUUCUGCAGUUGUUGUGUGAUGGAACAGAAAUUCCCAUAUACAAUUGAAGAAUGUUAUCCAAUUAAAAAUCUUAGUCAAUUAUUUAUAUUAUCUUAAUUAGGGCUACCAGAUCUGGGAUGCAAAAAUCCAGAUGAUUACUAGAAGGAUCUCUCUACUGCUAUUUAAUGGUCAUCAAAAUUUUGCAUUCCAGAUCAGGUAGCCCUAAUGUUAAUUAUUCCAUCUAUUAAUCAAUUUCAUCUGAAUAUGGGUAAAAUCAAUUGAACUGUGUCUUUAGAACAUGUUGUUAUGACUGAAAGGUAACAAAAAUCCAGCUCUGCAAUAUUUGUAGAGUUCAAGAUUCUUUUUUGGAGGGGUGGAGCUUGAGAACACAAAUGUCAAUUUUCCAUUGCCUUGUCUAUUGCUCUAAUUUUUCUGUAUGAGUAACAUGCCUCCUCCCCAACUUUUUCACUCUUAAAUGCUUUGUUUGUAUCUGUCUACGGUGGUGAUGAGGUUUGUAUCAGAGGAAUAGCUGGGUUAAAUUAAGGGGGAAAAAAUAAAAAGAUGUCAUGCCCCAAUUAAAUGUCAGCCAAAAGACUUCUAAAUAGUUAAUUGAAACAGAAUAACUUCUAGCUAGAACAUUGCAGCUCUUAAUGACAACAUAGUAAGUAUUAGUUGUUCACUUUCAAUUAUUAUGUGAAUUCACCUAUUUUGAUAUACAAAACAGAAUUUCUGGCUUAGGAGACUGGCUGGAUUUGCACCAUUACAGUUUAUGAAAGAAAUUGGACUGCAGCAGCUAACAGUGCACUGGACCAUGUUGGCCAAAGGUUUGAUGGACAAACAGUUGGAAAAAAACUGGAACUCGGUUCUUAUAUAUGACAACAGCAGCAAGACUUUUAUAUACACAGAGGUGGAAGGACAAGACAUUACCUACGGUGGAAGAAUGGAUGGUGAAGCUGAUGGAGUUAGCUGAGAUGGCAAAAUUGACAGCUUUGAUUUAAGACAUUGUGUAA